rnacentral:rRNA from 1 species
GUAGGGUGCGAGCGUUAUCCGGAAUCAUUGGGCGUAAAGAGCUCGUGGGCGGUUCAGCAAGUCGGCUGUGAAAUUCCGAGGCUCAACCUCGGAACUGCAGUCGAUACUGCUGUGACUCGAGUCCGGUAGAGGAGAAUGGAAUUCCCGGUGUAGCGGUGAAAUGCGCAGAUAUCGGGAGGAACACCAGUAGCGAAGGCGGUUCUCUGGGCCGGCACUGACGCUGAGGAGCGAAAGCGUGGGGUAGCAAACAGGAUUAGAUACCCUGGUAGUCCACGCCCGUAAACGUUGGAUACUAGGUGUGGGGUUCCGACCAACGGUCCCCGUGCCGAAGCUAACGCAUUAAGUAUCCCCGCCUGGGAGUACGGCCGCAAGGCUA